GACGAACGCUGGCGGCGUGCCUAAUACAUGCAAGUCGAACGCAGUUGGGACGGGUGAGUAACACGUGGGUAACCUCCCAUCAGAGGGGAUAACACUUGGAAACAGGUGCUAAACCGAUACUGAUGGAUGGACCCGCGGUGCAUUAGCUAGGUGGUGAGGUAACGGCUCACCAGGGCCACGAUGCAUACCCGCCCGGUGGGGGUGACUGGCCACACGGGGACUGAGAAACGGCCCAGAUUCCUACGGGGGUCGGCAGUGGGGAAUCUUCGGAAAGGGACGAAAGUCUGACCGAGCAACGCCGCGUGAGGGAAGAAGGUUUUCGGUUCGUAAAACUCUGUUGUUAGAGAAGCGGUAUCUAACCAGAAAGCCACGGCUAACUACGUGCCAGCAGCCGCGGUAAUUC
rnacentral:rRNA from 1 species